rnacentral:rRNA from 1 species
CAUGCUUUUGACGGGUAACGGGGAAUUAGGGUUCGACUCCGGAGAGGGAGCCUGAGAAACGGCUACCACAUCCAAGGAAGGCAGCAGGCGCGCAAAUUACCCAAUCCCGAUACGGGGAGGUAGUGACAAGAAAUACCGAUUCAGGAUCUUAUUGGAUCUUGAGAUUGGAAUGAGUACAAUUCAAACCCAUUAACGAGGAACAACUAGAGGGCAAGUCUGGUGCCAGCAGCCGCGGUAAUUCCAGCUCUAGUAGCGUAUAUUAAAAUUGUUGCAGUUAAAACGCUCGUAGUUGAACUUUGGGCUUGGCUGGCUGGUCCGCCUCACCGCGAGCACUGGUCCGGCUGGGCCUUUCCUCUUGGGGAUCCACAUGCCCUUCACUUGGGUGUGUUGGGGAACCAGGACUUUUACUUUGAAAAAAUUAGGGUGUUCAAAGCAGGCAUUUGCUCGAAUACAUUAGCAUGGGAUAAUAGAAUAGGACGUGUGGUCUUAUUUUGUUGGUUUCUAGGACCGCCGUAAUGAUUGAUAGGGAUAGUUGGGGGCAUCGGUAUUCAAUUGUCAGAGGUGAA